rnacentral:rRNA from 1 species
CAAGCGGUGGAGUAUGUGGUUUAAUUCGAUGCAACGCGAAAACCUUACCUGCCCUUGACAUCCUCGGAACUUGUCAGAGAUGACUUGGUGCCUUCGGGAACCGAGAGACAGGUGCUGCAUGGCUGUCGUCAGCUCGUGUCGUGAGAUGUUCGGUUAAGUCCGCUAACGAGCGCAACCCUCGUCGUAUGUUAUAUGUGUCAUACGAGACUGCCGGUAAAAGCCGGAGGAAGGUGAGGAUGAUGUCAAGUCAGCAUGACCUUUAUAUCCAGGGCUACACACACGCUACAAUGGUCUGUACAAUGGGUAGCCAAGCCGCGAGGCGGAGCCAAUCCUGAAAGCAGGCCUCAGUUCAGAUUGCAGUCUGCAACUCGACUGCAUGAAGCCGGAGUUGCUAGUAACCGCAGGUCAGCAAUACUGCGGUGAAUACGUUCCCGGGCCUU